GGAAUAUAAGAAUCCGUCUCUUAACUUUUAACUAAAAAAGUUAAGAACUGGUUCUUAAAACUUUUUAAGAACUAGUUCUUAACUUUUUUAGUUAAAAGUUAAGAGACGAAUUCUUAUAUUUC
rfam:Brassica oleracea var. oleracea cultivar TO1000 chromosome C2, whole genome shotgun sequence